rnacentral:rRNA from 1 species
ACGCUCGACACCUACGGGAGGCAGCAGGUGGGGGAUAUUGCACAAUGGGGGAAACCCUGAUGCAGCAACGCCGCGUGAGGGAAGAAGGUUUUCGGAUUGUAAACCUCUGUCUUUGGUGAAGAAGAAAGUGACGGUAACCAAGGAGGAAGCCACGGCUAACUACGUGCCACAGCCGCGGUAAUCUGAGCGGGCUGGCAAGGC